rnacentral:rRNA from 1 species
GAUGAACGCUGGCGGCGUGCUUAACACAUGCAAGUCGAACGAUGAAGCCCAGCUUGCUGGGUGGAUUAGUGGCGAACGGGUGAGUAACACGUGAGUAACCUGCCCUUGACUCUGGGAUAAGCCUGGGAAACUGGGUCUAAUACUGGAUAUGACUUCUCAUCGCAUGGUGGGGGGUGGAGAGAUUUAUUGGUCUUGGAUGGACUCGCGGCCUAUCAGCUUGUUGGUGAGGUAAUGGCUCACCAAGGCGACGACGGGUAGCCGGCCUGAGAGGGUGACCGGCCACACUGGGACUGAGACACGGCCCAGACUCCUACGGGAGGCAGCAGUGGGGAAUAUUGCACAAUGGGCGCAAGCCUGAUGCAGCGACGCCGCGUGAGGGAUGACGGCCUUCGGGUUGUAAACCUCUUUCAGUAGGGAAGAAGCGAGAGUGACGGUACCUGAAGAAGAAGCGCCGGCUAACUACGUG